GAUGAACGCUGGCGGCGUGCUUAACACAUGCAAGUCGAACGGAAAGGCUCCUGCUUGCAGGGGUACUCGAGUGGCGAACGGGUGAGUAACACGUGGGUGAUCUGCCCUGCACUUCGGGAUAAGCCUGGGAAACUGGGUCUAAUACCGGAUAGGACGAUGGUUUGGAUGCCAUUGUGGAAAGUUUUUCGGUGUGGGAUGAGCUCGCGGCCUAUCAGCUUGUUGGUGGGGUAAUGGCCUACCAAGGCGUCGACGGGUAGCCGGCCUGAGAGGGUGUACGGCCACGUUGGGACUGAGAUACGGCCCAGACUCCUACGGGAGGCAGCAGUGGGGAAUAUUGCACAAUGGGCGCAAGCCUGAUGCAGCGACGCCGCGUGGGGGAUGACGGCCUUCGGGUUGUAAACUCCUUUCGCUAGGGACGAAGCGCAAGUGACGGUACCUGGAGAAGAAGCACCGGCUAACUACGUG
rnacentral:rRNA from 1 species